rnacentral:piRNA from 1 species
UAUCAGUGUUGAGAUGGGAAGUUUCCCGCA